UACCAGCUCUCCGAGUGGUGUGGAUGUUUAUUGGGCCUAAUGCAUCCGUAGCUGGCUGGGCAAGUCCCCUGUUAAAUCCACCGAUUUAAUCGUUGGUGUGCGGGGGAUACUGUUCGGCUAGGGGACGGGAGAGGCCGACGGUAUUUUCGGGGUAGGGGUGAAAUCCUAUAAUCCCGGGAAGACCACCAGUGGCGAAGGCCGUCGGCUAGAACGCGCCCGACGGUGAGGGAUGAAAGCUGGGGGAGCGAACCGGAUUAGAUACCCGGGUAGUCCCAGCUGUAAACGAUGCAGGCUAGGUGUUUGGGCGGCCACGUGCCGCUCUAGUGCCGGAGAGAAGUUGUAAGCAAGCUGCCUGGGAAGUACGGUCGCAAGGCUAGAAACUUAAAGGAAUUGGCGGGGGAGCACAGCGACGGGUGGAGCGUGCGGUUU
rnacentral:rRNA from 1 species